rnacentral:lncRNA from 1 species
UGGAGUGUUAAUGUUGCAAGAGGUUUGGAGUUCGAGUCCCUACAUGGGCAAAGGGGAUAAUUUUUUGCUUUUUGUUUCAGCAAGAGGUUGUUUUGACUGGGUUUCUGAGUAGUAGUGGUGUGGUGGGGGAGUGUUGGAGUGAUUUUAUGAGGAAAAUAUGGGAUUGGAGUGUUGGAGUGAUUUUAGGAGAAAAAUAUGGGAUUGUGGAGUUAUCUCGAUUUGGUGGACUGAUAAUUUCGGCUCUCACCUCUCUUUCUCUCAACUUUCUGUCAGUUUUUUUC